rnacentral:rRNA from 1 species
UGGGGAAUAUUGGACAAUGGGCGAAAGCCUGAUCCAGCCAUGCCGCGUGUGUGAAGAAGGUCUUCGGAUUGUAAAGCACUUUAAGUUGGGAGGAAGGGCAGUAAGCGAAUACCUUGCUGUUUUGACGUUACCGACAGAAUAAGCACCGGCUAACUCUGUGCCAGCAGCCGCGGUAAUACAGAGGGUGCAAGCGUUAAUCGGAAUUACUGGGCGUAAAGCGCGCGUAGGUGGUUCGUUAAGUUGAAUGUGAAAGCCCCGGGCUCAACCUGGGAACUGCAUCCAAAACUGGCGAGCUAGAGUAGGGCAGAGGGUGGUGGAAUUUCCUGUGUAGCGGUGAAAUGCGUAGAUAUAGGAAGGAACACCAGUGGCGAAGGCGGCCACCUGGGCUCAUACUGACACUGAGGUGCGAAAGCGUGGGGAGCAAACAGG